AGUAAUUCAUUUUUUAGUCCGGAACUGACCAGUCUCCGUUGAAUUUUAAGUAGGCCUCAUCUAAAGGCCCAAAGUAGAUGAUGAGCCAGCCCAAGUACCCAUUGUGGAUCAAACAACACAAAAUCGGAGGCAUCGGACGGCUGUGAAUGAUCGAAUUGCUAGGGUUUCAAAUGCACGGCUAUAAAUCUUGUUACGGGGGACUUUAUCAUUUCCUCCCUUACCUUCUCUCUGCUGGAUUUCGCGGCAGGUUCUACAUUUUGAUUUCAUUCUUUCUCGAUUGGGUUCUUUCGUUGGAUUUAAGUAUUGGGCUUUUGAUGGAAGUUGUUUGAUUCUCCUUUGGAUUUCGUUCGUUUUCGAUUAGAUUUUUUGCUUGAUUUAAAAAUUGGGGGUUUUCGUAUUCGUUAGAUUUUUCUGACUGUAUGGAUGAAUAUGAUGAAAGUUAUGAUGCAUGGUGAUCGCCUCGAUGUGAUGAAGAUGUUUUCGCUACGUUCUUUCUGAUUCAUAUCCUAAAUAUGAAGGAUUUAUUUUUAUGUUUUUGUUUUUGUUUUCAAAAUUUAUGAAUUUGUUUUUAUUUUUGGAAUUAUAUGAAUGAGGAAGAUGAUGAAACCAGAAAAUCUUAGGACACCUUCUGACGCAGUGAAAGAUUGCUGUGUAUGAGAAAGAUUUUCAGUUUCUGAUGCUUAUUAUGAUGAUAAUAAACAAAUUUUUGAACUCUAUUUUUGUUUUAGUAAAAAAAAUUAAUAAUAAUAAAUUUCUUUAAAGCUAAAACUUUUUUUUUUUGGUAAAAUUAAAAUAUUUUAUUCAUUUAUUUAUUUUCAUACUUUUUUAAAAAUGAAUUGAAAAGUCUUUUUUUUUUUUUUUUUUAAUUUAAGAGGAAUUCUUUUUUAAUAAAAUUGAAGAAGAUGAAUCCUUUAUAAUUUUUUUAAUAAAAGUGAAAUAACCAUAUUUAUGAAUUAAAGCUAUUUUUUAAAAUAAGAAAAUUUAUAACUUUUUUUAUAUGUGGUUAUCAAAAUCAUUUUUUUUAUUGAAGCAUUUUUCUCAUAAAAUUAUACAAAUAUUUUUUCCUAAAAAUGGUAGUCCUUUUUUAAUAAUAAAGUUUGGAUUGAAACAUCUUUUAAUAAAUAAAAUUGUUAAAUUUUUUAGUAGAGUUAAGCAAAAGAUUUUUUAGAUAAAAUUGUAAUUUUGUUUUUAAAGGGCAACAUUCUUUUUUAAGUAAAAUUGUAAAAAAAAAUCUCUUUUUUAAAAAAAAGUAAAAUUAUAAUUUUUUUAAUAAAAAUUAAGAAAAAAAUUCUUUGGUUUUUAGAUAAAAUUAUAAUUCCUUUUUAAAGGCAAAAUUCUUUUUUAAGUAAAUUUGUAAAAAUAUUUUGUUUCUUAAAGGCAAAUUUUUUUAUAAGUAAAAUUGUAAAAAAUAAAAUAAAAUAAUGAAAAUUGUAUAAUUUUUUUGAAGGGAAAUUUCUAUUUUUAAGUGAAAUUGUAAAAAUUCUUCUUUUUCUUCUUCUUCUUUUAAGGCAAGAUUUCCAUUUUAAAAGUAAAAUUGUAAAAAAAAAAAAAUUAAUAAAAGUUAAGCAAAUUUUUUUAGAUAGAAUUGUAAAAAUCUUAUUUUAAAGGUGAAAUUCUUUUUUUAGAUAAAAUAAUUGUUGUUAAGGCAAAUUUUUUUUUUUUUUUUAAGUAAAAUUGUAAUAAUUUUUUUUUAAUAAAAGUUAAGCAAAAUUCUUUUUUAUAUGAAAUUAUAAAAAAAUUUAUCUAUUACUUUUUUAAGAAUAAAAUUAUGAAAAUCAUUUUUUAAUAAAGUUGGAUAAAAUGCAUUUUUCUUGUAAAUAAAAUCAGAUUAAAAAUUUUCUCUUUAAAUAAAAUUGCAUUCAAAUAUUUCUUUUAAUGACAAUGAGUAAAAUUUUUGUUUAAAUAAAAAUGCAUGUAAAUAUUGAUCAAAUGAUUUGUUGUAAAUAAAUUAAAACGCCUGGAGCAAAUAACUAAGUUGAAAUGGAAGUUGUUUUAAUGCAAAUAAUUUUUUUUUGAGAUUCCUUGAAAAUGUGUUGUAUUAUUUGAAAUAAUCAAAUCAUUUUUUAAAUAAAUUAAUUUGUAUAAUUCUUCAAAUAUUUAUAUGUAUUUUUUUUCAAUGUUAAUACAAACAAUUUUUCAUUUAAAUAAAUAAUUUUUUUUAUUUAAAAAAAAAAGAGUAAUUUCUUUGAUAUAUUUCUUAUAAAAGAUAUAUUAAUUAUUCAUAAUAUCAAAAUAGCCAAAAAUUUUACAUCCAUAUAGGGAAAAGUGUGUUUUUAUAUACAUAUAUGAAAACAAAAUCAUAAAAUAGGAACCCAAAUAAAUAUAAUUUUAAAUAGUUAUUUAAAAAUAAUUAGUAUUAUAUAUAUAUUUUUUGUUAUAUUAUCUUUGACUAUUACUACAAUCUUUUUAUGAUAUAAGUACUUUCAUGUUAAGUAAUAAAACUUGAAUUGUUUUUAAAGCCUUACUAUUUUUGUAAUUAUUUUUAUUUAUUUUUUUCACAUUUAAAACAAUAUAAUAAAAGGUUAUUUGAUUAAAAGGGUUUUUAAAAAUUCAAAUUUUGAAAUUUGACCUUUUACCUUUUUCCAGGAACAAAAAUACUCUUUUUUUUUGAAAAAAAUAACCAUAUUUUUUUUUUAACUUUUCUAUAAACUAGUAAGUGUACAUGUGUCAAAACACGUGAGAGAAUAUGAAAAAAAUUUCAACAAAAAAAUUAAUAUGUGAAUUUAUUCUUUUAAAACUUGUAUAAAAAUCAAGUAGAGAUUUAAUAUCAAAUAAUUGAAUUAAAUACAAAACCAACUAUUAAAAAAAUUGGGAUUACAUAUAAAUAAGAUUAUGACACCAAAUUACAUGAUAAUAAAAAAAAAAAAAACCAAUUUUCUUAGAUUAAAAAAAUAAAUAUCACCUUGGUACUUGGUUAUAGUAUUUAACAAUUUUAAUUUAAAUACAUUGUUUAUUUUUUUUACACUAAAUUUGUAUUUUUUUGUGUUAAUUAUUUUAUAUAUAGUUAAAUACUUUUUUCCUUUUAUAUAAGAGCUUUUUAAUAAAAAUAAGAACAAAAAUGAAUUAAUUUGAACAAGAAAUUUAUGGAUUAAAAAAAAUAAAAUCUCAAACCUAUAACUUUAUCCAAUAGAACCCAUUGGAAGAGUUGAAGAUAAAAAAUUGAAAAGAAUAGAGAAUAACAAAAUAAGAGAAAAGUUUUCAAACUUUAAAGAUGAAAAAUGAAAUGAUCGCAAAACAUUUGAAAAGUUUUCAAAUUUUUAAUGAUGAAAUUUUAUAUCAUUAAUCAAUAUUAAUAGAGUUUAAAGAGAAUAAAAUUUAUAAUGGAUUAUAUUGGCAGAUUGAAGAGUUGGUUACAUCCAUAAGCUCCCAUUGUAUUCGAAUGUUAUGGGCGUUUAGGUGAAUGCAUUAUAAGACUAGGGUAUAUAUAUUUUUCGAUAGCAAUUGCUUUUAGACGUCAAAUAAUUAAAACUCUAACUAAUUGAAAAAAAAUAAAUUCUCAUUUAAAUUUAUUAUUAAUAUUAAAAAAGAGUAUUUUUGGAAAUAAAAAGUGAAAAACAAUUCGUAUUUUUAUAUAGGUAGUAUAGAUACUUAAAAUCAUAAAAGAUAUUUAUGAAAAAAAAUAAUUUUUAAAAUUUUUUUUUAAAAUGAAAGACAAUGAUUAGAUUUUAGGGAUUUAUUUUCCCUUACAUGAAUGUAUGUGAACAAAGGCAGCCUAGAUCUAGCGUCUGGGUUGUGUCCAGACAGUUGAAGCGUAUACCAGAUUGUCUCUCUGGGAAGUAUACAUCGCUUUGGUGGUAAUCCUCGCAUGCAAUUUUUUUUUUUUUUUUAGUUGUUUCUGAACCUUUUGAUUGAUAUGAUAGUUUGCAUUUUAUGUGGGUUAAGAUGGUGGAAGAUCAGGUUUGAUAGCGCAGUUAGCUUUUUCAAAGUGCACAUCAACUGUUUGAUAAAAGUUCUUCAUAGAACUGGGUGAUUACAUUCUGGACUAAUUUCACACUAGAGCUGACUGAAACAAAAGCAUUUAGGAAAGGAAGUGAAUGAGAGAAAAGAUAUAGGGAAAAAAAUCCAACACAAUAGAAGUAGGAAGAGCUCAUCAACAUUUGAAAUGAAACUUCUGCUGAGCCCAUUACUUGUUAAUAUCUGUAAAGGAUUCAAGUUAAUAAUAAAAUAUGAAAGGAAAUUUUUAUAGGAUCCAUAUUGACAUGUAUUGUUGUAUCUAUCUAAGACCCAAUUCAGCUUAAUUGGCAGCUAUUGGACAUUGUACCAACAAUGCAUUAAGAUAGUAAAGCAUGAAUUUGAACCCACAGAAAUCAAUUGCUCAGAGUGAUACCUGAUUUUCUGGUAAGGAAAAAAUAAUGGAACAGAAAUUCAGCAUCUCCUCAAAGCUUAACUAGGGAGACAUUGUGAAUUUUGAGCAGGAAAAUCUAGUCUAAGAAAUGAUAAUGACAUCAAUGUUAUUUAAAGACUUUUGAGUGCUUUCUGGUUGGAGAAGAAAAAUAAGAAAUGAUGAGGUAGGCCAAUGUCCUAGCCAAAAGAGGGUCUACCAUGUAUUAGAACUUUAGUUGAGCUAGGGGUGUUCCAGAUUAUUUUGACGUCUGAUAGUGACUCAAUGGAAAGCUCCUGCGUUUAGAGGUCUUGUACUCAGUGAUGAGUUCAAGCCUUAGAAGUAUGCAGAAGGAUAGGUCUGGAAUAAGCCUUGUAUGAGUCCUUUAAUCCCUGUUUCUUCUUUAACAGGUGCUUUCUGGUAGCAGGGUUUGAUUAUCCUUUGAUUAUCCUUGUAUGAGUCAGUCUCUUCAAGUGCAAGCAAUCAUAUGGGUCUUAGGUAAGCACCUGUCUCCUUGGUAGGCAAAGGGGUAAGCAAACAUGGCUGUCUUUGUUAAUAAGCAAAUUGGUAAAUAAGCAGAAUUCUUUUGUUUGGUUGUCUAUGGUCCUGUGUUGCUUCCUUUGCUUAGAAGGGCUUUUUGCUUCUUUUUCUUCCUUUGAUCUGAUAAAAUUUUGUUUAUUGUCAAAAGAGAAAGAUACCAAGAUAAAAAAGAUGAAACGAUAAUUUAUAGACUCUUCCUACUCAGAACAUGCAUAUAAGGCCAAAACCCAAAUGCAACUUCACAUAGCGACUUGAAAUGGGUUUGUAAUGGUGGUUCAGUUAAAAUUCCAGCACCUGAUGAUCCCUAGUCAUGGAAUUAUAUAGCAGUGGUUACUAGGUAGAGAAUAGAGCAUAGUUACUGUGUUCUAUGGUGCCCUUUUUUUCAAUUAUUACAUUUUACUUGAGAGUAACUCAAGGAAAGAAAGAAAAAAAAGAAACACUAUCAUAAUUAUUUGGCGUGGAUUAAUUGUUAGGUACUUCGAUUCAUUGUUAUUUUGUAUAUAUGUUAGUUGGAUGACUUGGAUGGAGAAGAAAUCUGUCUAGUUGCAAACACUUCUAAUUCAAGGAGAUUUCUCUGGCCAAAAUCUUUCAUUUGAGGAGGUAAAAGCGAUUCAUUGGAGUCUGACACAGGAUGUGGUUUAAAAUGGAAGCCAAAAGUAGUAACAAAUAUCAAGUCAUUAUCACCAAUGGUUUUUCUGUGCCAGAUUGACUGGUGGUAACUCAAAUGUGCUAGAAUCUUUAUCAUAGGUCAGUGGUGAAGGCAUCUCAAGAAUCUGUCAGGCUGUGAUAACAGUUUAUAUUCCUUUGCUACUUGCAAUCAUAUGCGUAGUGGACCUUUACUUCUUAGUUAGAUGUUGUAUUGAACAACGUUAUCCAUAAGAAUUCGCAAGCCUACAAUUACCAGGAUAUGAAGGUAGAACUCAUAACAUGUCAGAAUUUUCCCUGGCUAUGCCAAACAAAGAUUUUGAGUGUUUCAGAAGUUCAUAACAGUGAUCGAUCAUGUCACUGUUCAUGUCAUCUAGUUGCUCGUGUUCUUUGUAGUUUCCACAUAAUCUCAUUUAUACCCCUGCAAUUUCUGUAGUUGUCACUAGAACAGAUUGGGUUUUCAUUUUCUUGAUCAUCUUUUUCUUUUUGAGCAGAUAAAUAUUUCAUAUCCGGGAGAGGCUUUAGGUUUUCUUGCAGUGCAUUUGGAAUGAUAAAGGCAGUGGCAUUUCCUUGCAAAGUAUGUUUAAUUUUCCUCUUAUGUUAAUAUGGUACUUAGUUUUAGGUUGUUACUUAUGAAUUAAAUUUUCUUAGAGAGCAUGUUGUCUGAAUUUAGUUAAUCAUGUAGAUUUUCCUAGUCUACAUACAAGUUUUUAAUCUGAAAGACAACAGAAUGGAUAGCCAUUCUUUAUGAUGUAGGCUUCUUGUCAAUCAUGAAAAUAUCUGUUCAAAGAUUAAAGGAUAUAGCUGAGAUUUGUUAGAAAGAGCAUAUAAGAGAGUACCAAUGAGGAAUCUGAAUAUUUUGAUAAAUGGUGGAUUGAAAAAAAUAAGCUGGUUAUAUAUAUUAUAUAAAACAGUGCUCAAGCAUGGAUAAAGGACUCACAGUUGUCUAACCUGGAUUGAUGGACUGAUAUAACAAAAGAAUUACCCUGUACAACUUGCAUGGAGAUAUUGAAUGACAUUUUGAAUCUCAUAUCCUGACAAAAUAGGAGUCUCAAUUUAGUUGAAUGGCAAAAGAGGAGCUAUUUAGGGGAAUACCAAAAAUGGAGUUGUUUAGUGGAAUGCCAAGGGUGUUAUGCAAUGGGCCAUGGAAAAUAUAGGUUAUGGGUUGGAUGAGAAAAAAUAAUCAUGUUGACUAAAUUCUAUAAAUUUUAAUUUUGAGCAAUAAUUUUUGAAUAGCUAGGUAUUCUAACUUUGAAACUAGUAUGCUCUCAUGAUCUUGGGGUGAUGGCAUAUUAGGCAUGAAACUUGACCUUUGAAUUUGGGAAGCUUAGCCAUCCAAUUUUUACCUAGUCACAUAUAUUUAGGGAUUGUAAAUAACAUUUCUAAUAUUUAGAAUGGUGAUUUGGGUUUUCUUUGUAAAUUACACACAUACACGUGUAUAUGUGCGUAAUGUUUUUUCAAGAUUCCUUAGAACACCCAUAUGUAUUUGACUUUAAUUUCCUUACUUUUUUGAACUCAUAAAAAAAAAAAAAAAAAAUUCCUUACUUUUUUGUGCUUUAUAUUGGUUUUUAGAAUUUUCAGGGGUUUUUAUUGUGAUCUAAAAUGAUUUCUGAUUCCUCUUGCUAUUGCCUUCCCCCUAUAUUUUUCAAAGAGUCCCCAUAUGACAUGAAUGCAAAAGCAUCACUUAUGAAUGUUCAGCAAAAAUGUCAUCAAAGCAUCCAGAUAUGCCUUGAGUUUUUUUUGGUUUUUUUUUUUUGGUGAACUUACUAUUGCAACUGUGUUUUGAUUUGCCUUUGGUGCUACAUCGAGUGUAUGUUUUCAUUUAUUUAUUAUUUAUUUUAAUGGUGGCUCUUGGUUGCAUUGAUACUUAUCAUGUGUAUUCAUCUUCAGUGCAUGUUGGAUUCUACCUGAUAAGUUUAUGGUUUGACGAGGCUCAAAUUUGGAUAAAAAGACCUAUCAUAAUUCAUCUAAAAACUGGAAUUCGUUUGUCUAAUUGUAAUCAUAGUUCUCUCUUCAUCCGAAAUACUGUUGUUGCUGUAAUGUUAGUGUUUAAUUUUUAUUCUCAUUUUUUUCUUUCUGUGCAUUCAAAAGAUGCAUGUUAAUAUUUUGACCAAUUUAAUCUUUAAUUUUUAACUAGAUUUUACAUAUGGUCCCCAGGAAAAGUACUGGGGGCAGUUUUGACUUUCACAGUUUUACACUUGAUAAUUUAGUGUAUGGCUUAUGAAAUAAUAUGUUUUUGUCCUUACUUUGGUGUAACCUUUUUGUAAUAUAGGCAUCAAUAUUGCCUUUUGCAAGGAUUGAGGUGCCUAACCAGGUAAAAGUUAAAGGAGCAAGGAUGGAGCUCUCUUUAACUCAACCAGAUGAUUGGCAUCUUCAUCUACGAGAUGGUGACCUUCUUGAAGCUGUUGUCUCUCACAGGUCACUUUAUUUUUAUGAGCAUGCUCUUUCAAAGUAGACUGAUGAUUAUCCCACUCUUUUAGUUAUUGUCUUGAUGUAUAUCAUACCGACUUGGAAAAAUAGAUAUUUGCUUGUUUUCAUUGAAUGGGUUAAUUGUGUUGUGAAUAUUAUGAUUUCCAUUUAAUCUGGCCAUGAUUAAUUCUUACAGUGCAAGUCAUUUUGGAAGGGGAAUAGUGAUGCCAAAUCUGAAACCCCCCAUUACCACCACUGCUGCUGCUGUGGCUUAUCGGGAAUCCAUAUUGAAAGCACUGCCUGCCAAUUGUGACUUCACCCCUCUUAUGACACUAUAUUUGACCGAUAAAACAAGUCCUAACGAGAUCAAGCUUGCCAGUGAGUCCAGCCACAGCUUGUGAUUUAAAGCCUGUUAGUUGUUUCUACUUUCUGAAGAUUAUUUGUUGCCUGCCUCUCAAUUCUCUGAUUUAACUUAGUUCAAAGUUACUAAAGAGUAUUUAAUUGUAGGUUUAUGUAACUUUUGUUGCUAAUGCUGCUUUUACGUUUAUAGAAGUGUGGAAAACAAAUGUAUAGGCAUUUAGUCAUAUGAUUAUAUUGUUUUCUAGAAUUUCUACUGGUGAACAGGUGUUGCAGUUUGCAUUAGUUUAUGCGCAUACACCUUUUAUACAUUCUUUUGUUGGUAGGUUAGAGUUUUCGAUGAUUUUCUGUAAAUACAUGCUGAAGGUCCAUUAGAGUUAAUCUUCUACUCUUUUCUUAGUGAUCAAGAUUUAGUUUGUUUUUUAUGUAGUUUCAGUGAGUACUACCAUCUAAUAAGCUGUUUGGUAAGAGGGAGCUUAAGGGAAAGGAAUUGAAUUUCGUUUUCUUUACCUGGAGUUGAGGAGAAUUAAAAAAGAACAAGUGACAGUUUUUGCCUUAAAAUGUUACAAACAAAAGAGGGAAAAAUAAAAUGAAAUAAAAAAGAAUGAUGGGGAGUCUUGCUGGUUGCCACUUGUUGCAAUUUUUUAAGUUACAUCCCCACCCCUGUCAUCGUAUGCAAUCAUCACUACUUGAGGAAGAAAAAAGGGGGGAAAUGAUAGAAGAAAAUGAAAUAUGGAAAUAAGGGAUAGAAAAAGAGUUGCUGCUUUGACAACAAAAUUGAGAAGGUUUGUGAAGAAUUUCUGAACUCCUUUAUUGAUAAUGAAUCGGUACACACCAUACACAUAUAUAUACACAAAUGACUGAAUAAGAAACAAUCAAUCUAGCUUAAUUCUCUCCUAAAAUUAGGAAACUAAAUCAUAAGGAAAUAUCCUAAAUGAUCUCUCCUUUUUUUUAUUCCUAAAUUAAAGUCCUAACUUUGGCAUUAUUUCAACACUCCCCCUCAAGCUGGAGAAUAUAUAUCAUAUAAUCCCAGCUUGCAAGUUAAGUCUUCGAAGUUAGGCCUAGGUAAAACUUUGGUGAGGAUGUCUGCGGUUUGGUGCUUGGUAGGAACAUAGUUUAAUUUGACCGUCUCACUAGUCACCUUCUCUGUGAUAAAGUGUCUGUCAAUCUCAACAUGCUUGGUCCUGUCAUGAUGCACGGGGUUCUUUGCUAUGCUUAUAGCUGCCUGAUUAUCACACAUCAUCAGAAUUGGAGAUGAACUCGUUUGUCCCAGUUCACUAAGAACCCUUUUUAUCCAAAUCCCUUCACAGAUUCCCUGUGCAAGAGCUCUGUACUCAGCUUCUGCACUACUUCUGGCUACAACUGAUUGCUUCUUACUCCUCCAGGUAACAAGAUUUCCCCAGACAAAAGAACAAUAUCCGGAAGUGGACCGCCUGUCAAUGAUGUUUCCUGCCCAGUCCGCAUCUGAGUAUACUUCAGUGUCACGGUUCUCUGUCUUUCUGAAGAAUAGGCCUUUCCCUGGUGUCAUUUUUAAAUAUCUAAGAAUCCUGUAGACUGCUUCCAUGUGUUCCUCAGUGGGGCUGUGCAUGAAUUGACUUACAGCACUCACUGCAAAGCCAAUAUCUGGCCGAGUGUGUGAGAGAUAAAUCAAGCGCCCGACAAGCCGCUGAUAUCUCCCCCUGUCUACCGGUGUACUUUCUUUCUCGAUACCAAGUUUCUUCUGACUAUCCAUAGGAGUAUCAAUUGGUUUGCAUCCAAGCAUACCGGUCUCCUUAAGAAGAUCGAGUAUGUAUUUUCUUUGAGAGACUACGAUUCCUUUCCUUGAUCUAGCCACUUCCAUACCAAGGAAAUAUUUCAAAUUUCCAAGGUCUUUAACUUCAAACUCUUCUGACAAAUACUUCUUCAAAUUCUGUAACUCCCCCAUAUCAUUUCCAGAUAGAAUAAUAUCAUCGACAUAGACUAUCAAUAUGACCAAUUUCCCGGCAUGAGAUUUCUUGACAAAUAGAGUAUGAUCAGCCUGACCUUGUUUGUAGCCCAGCUUCAGGACUGCUUUUGUGAAUCUAUCAAACCAGGCUCGAGGAGAUUGUUUAAGGCCGUACAAUGAUUUUUGGAGUUUGCAAACCUGAUUCUUUGCCAUACUUUCUUCGAAACCAGGUGGUAUUUCCAUGUAGACUUCCUCUUCUAGGUCCCCAUUUAGAAACGCAUUUUUUAUGUCCAGUUGUUGCAAGCACCAAUCUUGAUUGACAGCCAAUGAGAGAAGGAUCCUGAUAGUGUUCAGUUUUGCAACAGGAGCAAAAGUCUCCUGAUAGUCUAUCCCAUAGGAUUGUGUAAACCCUCUAGCUACCAAACGAGCCUUGAAUCUUUCGACUGAUCCAUCUGCUUUGUAUUUUAUGGUGAAAAUCCACUUGCACCCCACAGGCCUCUUCCCAACCGGCAAAUCUGUGAUAGUCCACGUCCCAUUCUUCUCAAGUGCAUCAAUCUCAUCUUGUACUGCCUUCUUCCAUUCUGAAAUUUUUAAUGCCUCUUGUAUUGUGUUGGGAACCUGAGUAUCAUCAAGAGAAGUAGCAAAUGCUCUGUAAGAUGGUGAUAACCCUUCAUACGUAACAUAAUUCCCAAUUGGAUGAUCUGUACAUCUCCUAACACCCUUCCUCAAUGCAAUUGGCAAAGUAGAAUCAUCAAUGCUGGGAAUUAACACCUCUCCAGCCCUAUCCUCACCUAUGUUCUCUUCAGGAAGACUUGAAUUGAAGUCAAUAUAUUGGCCACAUGUUGACUGUGAUCCGUGCUCUAAUUCCUGUCUUUUCCUCCUCCUGAUGUAAACUUGUAAGUUCUCAUUAGCAAGUUGUGGGGCUAUAGGUUGAAUAGGCAUGGGAGACUGGAUGGUCACGAGAGAAGGAACAUUUGUGUGCUGGGCUGGCUGAACUGAUGGCGGCAUGGGUGUGGACAACUCAGUGGGCGCGAAUUGGGAAGGAUUUGGUGACUCUGAGUGAAAAGAAGGUACACCAUCAAGAAAAGACUCCCAAACUUGAUGUUCAUUCAUGCUCUCCCCCUGAACAUGAGAUUUGGGAUAGAAGAAGACAUGUUCAAAGAAAGAGACGUCCAUGGUGGUGUAAAAUCUUUUGUUGGUUGGAGAAUAGCAUUUGUACCCUUUUUGGGUUGGAGAAUACCCUAGAAAAAUGCACUUAUUUGCUCGAGGAGCAAAUUUGCUACGAUUUUGAGGAUACACAUGAACGAAUGCCGUACAACCAAAUACUUUGAGUGGUAAAUCAGAAGAGGCGGCAUGGGUGUGAGGAAACUGUUUUAAGAAAAGUUGACGUGGGGAUUGAAAGGUAAGCACUCUGGAUGGCAUACGGUUAAUCAAAUAGGUAGCUGUGAGAAUAGCUUCCCCCCAGAAAUAGUUUGGAACAUUAGAGGAAAACAUAAGGCACCGGGCAACCUCCAAGAGAUGUCUAUUCUUGCGUUCGGCCACCCCAUUUUGUUGUGGGGUGUCAACGCAAGAACUUAUGUGGAUAAUGCCAUGAUUUUGAAGAUAAGUACUGAGACUACUAGUAAAGUAUUCCUUUGCAUUAUCUGACUUGAGGACUUGUAUUUUGGAAUUGAAUUGAUUUUGAACCAUACGAUUGAAGGUUUGAAAAAUGUGCCCGACCUCUGACUUUUCUUUCAUAAGGAAAACCCAUGUUACCCGAGUAUGAUCAUCAACGAAUGUCACAAACCAUCGAGUGCCAGAAAUAUUUUUUAUCCGGGAGGGACCCCACACAUCACUAUGUACUAGAGAGAAAACAGUCGAAGGUUUGUAUGGGAUUUGAGGAUAUACUGUUCGAGUAUGCUUUGCAAACUGACAAAUUUCACAGUGAUAAGAUGCUGGAUUUUUAUUGAUAAAUAAUCUGGGAAACAAUUUUGCAAGGUAAACAAAGCUAGGAUGACCAAGGCGAUAGUGUAACAUUAUAAUCUCACUAUCUUUAUUGACCUUAGAAUUUGACACAGAAUUGAAAGACUCUGACAUACUCUGAGACUGUACGCAACUUGCUUGAGAGACUUGGUUGGAGAAUUGGCCACAUGAAAGGAGGUAGAGCCCGGAACACAGUUCAGCACUGCCAAUCAUCUUCCCCGAUUUCAAGUCCUGAAAAACACACAAGUUUGGAUAGAAUUUAGUAACACAUUGGAGAUCAUGAGCCAAUUUGCUAAUGGACAAAAGAUUGCAAUCCAAGUUUGGAACAUGGAGGACAGAGUCAAGAUAUAAGUCUUUAGUAAGUUUUAUAGAACCUGUCCCGACAAUUUUUGACUUUGAACCAUCAGCAAUAUGGACGGAUGAAUGACCAUUACUUGGCUUGUAAUUUUGAAGAAUGGCAGCAUCUCCUGUCAUGUGAUCAGAAGCACCUGUGUCUACUAUCCACGACCUCAUUCCUCCUCGAUUAGCAGUGAAGGCUACACCGGUAGUACUGCCACUGCCAACUUGGCUUAAUAAUUUCUGUAGCAUCUCCAUCUGCUCUUUGUUGAAUGGACUCGGCUCGGGAACAGAGGUGCUCUCAGAGUUGGCAGCCACGUGUGCUCUGCCAUCUCUGUCAAACCGUGGCUUUGGUUUCCAAUCAGCAGGUUUGCCAUGAAGCUUCCAGCAAGUCUCCUUAUAAUGGCCUGGUUUCUUACAAUAAUCACACCAAGGCCUAUCCCGUUUCUGACGAUCUCCACCACUACUAUUAAAUGACCGAGCCGCAAGGGCAGAGGCAUCCAAAGUUGGGGCAGGUUGCUCUUUUGAUCCCAUCAUCACUUUCUUUCUACUUUCUUCACGUCUAACCUCUGAAAAAGCCUCCCUGAGACUUGGCAGGGGUUUAAUGCCCAUGAUUCGGCCUCUAACAUCAUCCAAUUCCCUGUUUAGUCCUAGGAAGAACUUGAACAGUCUCUUUUGUUCCACAAUUUGCCUGUAUGUUGCUGCAUCAUCCGAACAUUUCCAUGAGUGAGUCUCAAAUAAGUCAAGUUGCUGCCAAUACCUUGUGAGUGUGUUGUAAUACUGAGUAACUGACUGCUCUCCUUGGCGGAAGUCAUGUAGAGCUGAUUCAACCUGAAACAGUUCUGAAGUAUUUUCAGAACUUGAGUAAGUUUCUUUGGCUGCAUCCCAUAUGUCCUUUGCAGUCCCAAACAGCAAAAAAUUUUCGCCUAUGUCAUUGUUCAUGGAAUUGAUAAGCCAUGACAUGAUCAUGCUGUUUUCAAUCUUCCACUUCCUGAAACCCGGUUCUGUAGUUUCUGGCAUGAUUGCUUCUCCAGUGAGGUACUCAUCCUUUCCUUUACCGCAAAUGAACAGCAACACAGAUUGUGACCACUGUAAAUAGUUAUGGCCAUUUAAUUUGUGUCCUGUGAUGAGAAUAGGAGAGGAAUCAUUGCCACCAAGGUUUGGAAUUUCAGAUCUGCCCCCUGAUUCUGGUGACGUGACGCUGGAUACUUGUGAUGAUGCCAUUCCAUAUUUUGUCAUGGACCGGAAAGGUAGAAGAACACUUUUCAAGGCACGUGCAGGGACUGGAGUUGAGAAAAAAUAGCCGAAGGACGCCGGAAAAUCUGAUCAGAGGGCCCGCGGAAGCAAAAGAACCCCAAAAGAGGCACGUGCAGGGCUCGGAUUGCACAAACAGGUAGGAAGGGUGGCUGGUCGGCGUCAGGCGAGCCUGGAGGAGGAAGCGCGUCGCCGGAAAGUGGCUCACGCGCCCUCACGCGCCGGCGCGUGAGAUGCAGUCGCCGGCCGGAAAAACGCGCGUGGGCGGCGCGUGGAUGGGUUUCUGGUUCCGGUGCUUUGGGACAAAUUGGAGAUCUCCUCCAGGCGCUCCUUGCGGUGUAGAAAAAAACCGUCGCCGGAAAGUUCGCCGGAAAAGUUGCCGGCGGUGAGUGUUUUCUGACGACUAUUCGAUUGACUGGAAAGUGUUUUCUCCCUUGGCUCUGAGAACAGGGACUGAUGGCCGGAAUGAGAGAGAGAGAGAGAGAGAGAUGAUCGGAUUGAGAUAUGGCCAGAAAGAUUUGGCCGGAAUGAGUGAUGGCCUGAAUAAGAGGUGGCCAGAAGGGAUUAGGGUUUCAGAAAACUGGCUCUGAUACCAUGAAGAAUUUCUGAACUCCUUUAUUGAUAAUGAAUCGGUACACACCAUACACAUAUAUAUACACAAAUGACUGAAUAAGAAACAAUCAAUCUAGCUUAAUUCUCUCCUAAAAUUAGGAAACUAAAUCAUAAGGAAAUAUCCUAAAUGAUCUCUCCUUUUUUUUAUUCCUAAAUUAAAGUCCUAACUUUGGCAUUAUUUCAACAGUUUGUUAUGCAUGAAAGAGAAAUAUUGGUGGGCUCACUCUAUCUUCUUAUGUCAGGUGUGAGAGAAGCGUACUUUGGUGCAUCCUUUUUGGCGCGUUUUAAUACAAUUCUCAUUUACUGAUAAAAAAAAAAAAUGUCAGGUGUGAGAGAAAUCCAUGUGGAAUCAUUGACCCAAGAGUAAGUAGGUCACUAUUGACCUUGUGACUUUGCACCUGUUUUUGUUUCUUAGUGUCUGAAUUAAAGCCAUUGAAGGUACUUGUUUCCUUCAAUUUCAGCUGUGUUUUUUAGGCUCCUAAGUCAGUUGGCCUAUUGUCCAAUUUAAUUGGAGCCCUUUUCCUUGUAGAAGCACAUGUAGACCUUCUCUCAUUUGAAGCAUUAUAAAGGGGAGAGUCCUUUCUAGAAAUUGGAGUGAGCAUUAGGAGUAUGAAGAGUCUAGCUUUGGUGCCAAAUUUAUUGGUGAGGAGUUGCUCUGUGUUUUUCUUUCUUAUAUUAGGUUAAUUAGCUACAUUAAAGAUAGAAUAGAGUCUGAUAUCAUUGUCCAUAAAUACCCUGUGAGGGGUUAUUUGUAUCUAGCUUUCAUUGUUCUCUCUUAAUAAAAACUCGAGUUAUAUUUUUACAACUAUGUUUGUUUGAUGCUUUUAUCUUAACAUAACUUGUUGGAGGAUGACAUAUACUGUGGGCCCAAAUUCUAACAACUUAAGCUUUUAGGAAAAUUGGUUGCUUAACAUGGUGUUCCAGGUUUAUGUCCUCCCUUCAUCAAUUUAUCCAUCUAAUAAUUGUGAUACAAAAAUUGCAACUUGUUUGCUCCAUGGCAGGUAAGGGUCCACACGUGAGGGGGCUAUUGCUUGAUAUCCUUUUAGGAAAAUUGGUUAUUUGCUUGAUAUCCUUUUAGGAAAAUUGGUUAUUAACUUAUUAUAUAUAUGCAACUUUUACAACAUGAUAUUCUGCUAUAAAUAGUGGCAUAUGGUGGUAAUUCAUUUGAUUGAUUUAACCAGAACUUAAAAUUUGAAAAUUAGGAAAUUUGAAAUAGUGGAAUGUUUGGACAGUUUAUUAAUAUAAUCAACAACACUUGUAAUUUUUAAUGCUGUAAACUCCCCUAGUGGUGGAUUUGUUCCUUUCCAUUUGAAUGACAGUUGGAGGAUAUCUCUCAAAAAUUCCCUGGCCGUGGAGGCUUGUAAUAUUAUCCCUUAGGGAAUUUUUCUUUUCUUUUUAAAUUUUUUGCUCUAGAUUAACUUCCAUGGCUUCAUAAUUAUUUUAAUCUCACAAGAAAUAAUCUUUUAUGAUCUUCAACAUCAUGGUUAAAAAAUUGGACACUUAUGAUAAUUAUCUCUGCCAUUAGUGAAAAUUGAUGUGGUACAUCUUUAUUAAGGUAAAUUCCUGUUGCUUUUUCCUUUACUUUAUAUAUUUCUUCUACCUGCGGUUUAUAUGAAAAUGCUAAUUGCUUCAACAGGAAAUAGUGGGGUAGUUUUUGCUGUAAAGUUGUACCCUGCUGGUGCUACAACGAAUUCUCAAGAUGGCGUUACGGAUCUUUUUGGGAAGUGCCUUCCUGUUCUUGAGGAGAUGGUUGAGCAGAAUAUGCCUUUACUGGUAACUCCACCAGUCCCUAAAUAGAUUUUUUUUCGUACUUUACCUUCUCUAUUUCAUUUGCAACUGAAAAUUUUCAUUCCUUGUUUGAAGAUGAAUACUCAAGACAUGAUUUAAAUUUCCUAGAAGCAAAUAUGUUGUUCCUUGGUGAGACCUAACUUCAUCUCUUGCUGCUUUUGGAAGGCAGCCUGUGAACUUUUGGCUUAUGACAAGUGACCACAGCUUCUGCCCCUAAGUGAAAGUAUAAGUCACAUUCUAAGAUUUUUUUUAAACAAAUGAAAUGAAUGUGCAAAAUAGCAGUGUUGCAGGAAUUGAAUCCUAGUGACAAUGUGUUUUAACUGACAGACAAUUCAUACACACAUGGUUGCCUUAAUGAAUCCAGAAAAUAUUUUUUUAAACAAUGAAAUUACUAUAUAUAUUGUAGUAAUCUCUAGAGUAGUGAAACUCAAACAUAUUACUCAAUAGUACCCAAUUGAUAGUGAGUGAAAAUCACUGUGAUUGAAUGAACCUUUAAAUUGUUGAGUGCAACUCUCAUAAGGCCAUUAUUGAUCCCCACUGAUAUUGUUUUAAAGCAAUACCUCUUAACCUUUUGUUUUCUUUUUUCUAAAGCAAUUUAAAAGCAAUACCUUUUACUAAUUGAAGACUUGGACAAGCAAUUGUAAAUCUUCAAAUGACAAAAGGCUUGAGGAUAAAUUGACAAAAUCUACUAGUUAUAAGGUAGUAGCCGCUUUCCAAACAACAGUUUCUUGGGGCCUGUCAUAAGCUAAGCCAAACACAGUUUUAUAUGGGUUCUAAGUAGGACAUUUCAAUUUAGUUUACUCUUUCUCGAUUAGUGUGAAUUCAACCAGCUGAAGAAGACACCAUUUAGAACCAAGACCUAUCUGUUUGAGCUUCUAUUUACAGGUCCAUGGGGAGGUUACAAAUCCAGAGGUUGAUGUAUUUGAUCGAGAAAAAGUUUUCAUUGAAACUGUUUUAAGACCUUUGAUUCAGAAAUUUCCACGGCUGAAGGUUGUGAUGGAGCAUAUUACAACCAUGGAUGCUGUUAGGUUUGUUGAGUCUUGCAAUGAAGGUAUCUUUAAUCACUUCUAUUUUCACCAUCCCCAUUAUUCUUUCCAUUGUUUUCCCUCUUCUUCUUUCUGGGAGUGUUUUAAUCCAUUUAUUAAUCCUUCCUCUUAUCCCAUUUUUAGAUAUAGUCGUUUUAUCUCACUUCAAUUGUGUUUAUUAGGAUCUGUUGCAGCAACCGUUACACCACAGCAUCUUGUUCUGAAUAGAAACUCUUUGUUUCAAGGAGGAUUGCAGCCACACAAUUACUGUCUUCCAGUACUUAAAAGAGAGACACAUAGUAAGUAUUGUCCUCAUUUUUCUCACAAAGCAGUGAUUAUGGAUUCCAUUCAUGUGGGAUUUUGGAGACUUACGACGUCUUAACUUAGCUCUUAUCAAUUAGAAACCUAAUGCUUUCAUGGCAUCAUCUAGUAUGCAACUUAUCAAUGGAAAGAAGCAUGCAUGAAUGUUUGUCUGAUCGGUAUGCUACUUGCCUGAGUUUGGAAUGAAGAUUUUGAGUAAGAUGAACUGUGCCAUAGGUGUCACUGUUUAAAAUAUUGCCCCACAACACACCUGACAAUUUUUGUUAUGCUUUCACUUUUGGGUUUAUUCAUGUUGAAAUGCAACAAGUGGAUUAUCCUUGUUAUUAGCUCCUUGACUACUUAAUAUAGGUCAUUUUGGGAAAUAUAAUGCAACUUGUCUGACUCUUUGAAAGUGUCUGGUCUAUUUGUGUUUUCCAUAAAAAAUUUGAAUGGGUUUAAAUUAUACCUUGUAAUACUAGUGUACUCUGCAUUCCUUAAAAUUGGAAGUGUUCAUGGAUUUUUCUAGAUGUUGCUAUGCUAUAGAAUUGAAGCAUCCGAAACAGGAAGGGCUAAUGCCAUAGAAAACAGGAAAUCCCCAUUGGAAAGAAAGAAGCUUGUCCAUUUUAAAGAGUCCUUACCAGCAAAAACGCAGGGUUUGCAGAGCCACUAUGAAAAAGUAAUUUGCACAUGCAAAGGCAGAUCAUCAAAAUUUUCCUUUAACACCUUGAGUUUCUUAUCCUAAAUUUCUAGUUGAUACUGGAGGUGUAUGUAAAAAAUCCACUUUUUAUAGGAUCUAAAUUCCAAAAAUUUGUCCUUGAUUUAGCUGUUUGGUAGCAGAAACCACUGAACAUGGUCUUUGUUGAUGUUAAAGGAAACAAAAUUAAAAAUUGAAGGCUUUCUUGUAGAUUCAAAUCAAAUAUUAGGAAAUCAGUAAGAAGGGCACUUUUUUGUUUUUUUCUUUUGGAAUGAAUAUUUGUCAUGGAACUAAAUAACACAAUAAUGCAUAUCAUGUUUUAUUAGUUGUGCAUUCAAUGUUAUUGGAUACAAAGGUUGUUGAAGAUGUCUUUGAGGAUGCAAUUGUUCUUCGGAAAUGUAUAGUAUUAGCUUAUUUAGUGCAUGGAUAAUUUUUGUCAAAGAAUAUUAAAUCAUCUAAUGGAGCAAGUUAUUGCUUUCAAAUGCAGAAUAUUGAAAUUUGAAGUAUUGGGAAUUACUUAACUCUUGGAUAUUUUGCAGUUUAUGGUUUAUCUGGAAGAUAUCAUGUGAAGGCAGUGGUUGUGAUGAUGGUUACAAAAAUAAGUUCAAUAUAUUGGAAAAUUUUUAUGAAUGAACUAUGAAUGCAACAUGGCAGUUGCGUUAAAGAAAAUAGGGGAGGAGCAUGUGCUAGCAUUCUAGAAGUAUCUGGUUUUACCAGGAAUUAUUUGCGAUAUCGUGAAUUCUCCAAUUAUGGCAUUAUAGGGAUUGAUUUAUCUAUACUUAACCUGGUUCAUGAAAUUUGCAAUUUCUGAAGAACUUUGUCUGUACCAAUUGCAGUAUUCCUUUUGACUAUUUUUGGUUUCUGAGCCCAUUUGUUUGUCUUUCUUACAGGACAGGCUAUUGUGUCAGCUGUGACUAGUGGAAGUAGAAAAUUUUUCCUUGGAACUGAUAGCGCCCCUCAUGAGAGACGACGCAAAGAAUGUCCUUGUGGAUGUGCUGGUAUAUACAAUGCCCCUGUUGCCUUGUCACUAUAUGCCAAGGUGUUCGAAGAGGUAAUUUCUCUCAACAUCCGGUGUAUUAUGUUAUUGUUUUUCUUUUAAUUUUUCAUCUGCUUUUACAUUUUCUGGUGGGGAAAAUCUAAAAUCUCACAUUGAUUAGCAGCAUUAAGUAAAAUCAUGAAUGCUUGUCAGUGGUUGAUGAAUUUGUAGAUGUCUGAAUGAAAAUCUUAGUUGGCUUGGCUGUAUUAGGAAUAAAGCCCACCAAUAGAUGACAUGCAAAUAAUAGUGAACUUCUUUUAGUAGACGGCUGAAGGGGCAUCGAUCCAGUUCUGACAUUAUAUUGAAGUUUUGGUCAGCCUGAUACGCUGGCUUGCUCUGUGGCAGCCCUAUGGUACCGUAGAUCAGUAUCUGCAAUAUUAAAUGAUCACAUGACUAACCCAUGAAACACUGUUUAUUCCACAACCAUUGAUUUUUAAUCUCUAGAGUACAUGGCUUGCCUGUCUAAGCCUCUGGUGCUGAAUGACCUGUACCUGCUGCCUUGAAUGCAUUUCUAAAGAUUGAAAUGCCUAGACUCUUGUCCUGCAUGGUUCUUCUAGGUUAUGGAUUGGAUAUGCUCAUUUAUGUCAAACAUUUCUUGUUUCUUAAAGACGAAAAAUCUACCCUCAUUUGCAUGUAGGCGUUUAAGUGAAUUGACUUUGUUGCAAAACAUGCUGGUGAUUUUAGGCAGGUGCACUCGACAAGCUAGAGGCGUUUACGAGCUUUAACGGACCAGACUUCUAUGGGCUUCCAAGAAACACAUCAAAGAUCAAAUUGAGCAAGACCCCAUGGAAGGUGCCAGAGUCCUACUCAUUCUCCUUUGGGGAUAUUGUUCCAAUGUUUGCUGGUGAAACACUCGACUGGCUUCCAUCCUCCCCUUGAUCAGUGCCAUUCCAUCAGACAAAUGAGACAAUGGUUGUAAGGUUCUCUCUUUACCCCUCAUGCAAUGUCUCCACACCAGAACUAAAACAAUGGAGACAUUGUUGUCUUUUAGAAUAAUUGCUAACAGGGAUCCUCAUCUUAUUUGGCCCUGUUUGGAACCAUUCUUGAAAAGUCAAAAACUCUUUUUUGGAAGUUCAAUAAGAUUGUUCUUUUCUAAGUUCAAUAAAAUCUUUAUAACUUGUUUGGCAGAUACCAAAAAGAGCAAGAACCAGCUUCAUGCCUUGAUUAAGGCAGUUGUUGUAUUAAAUAAACACACCAAACUAUCUUUAUUGGAAAAGUACAUCCAUCUCUGUACUUCCAAUAGGCUUUGGUUCGUUCUUAUCCUUUGAAUCCCAGCUAGGCCCAAAUAAUUCACUGGGAGACAGAGACAAACAAAGAACUGCAGUCCACAGAUUCCCUGAUUUGUACUUAAUUCAUUCAUAUCUCAUUGAUGUUUGCUACCAAACUGCCACCAAAUUCAAAAAUAGAAAAAUGAAAAAAAAAAAGAAAAAAAAAGAGGAGAAGGUGCCAAACCAGUAUGUUUGGUUUCAAGAAAAUUUGGUGGAGAAAAUAGAGAUGAAGGGUGGAACGUAAGAAAAAGUGAAAAAAAAAAAUAUAUUUAUAUAUAUGUUUUAUUAAUUUUAUUUAAUUCACUUUUUUUUAUUAUAUAAAAAUUAAAUAAUUUUAAAAUGCAUAUAUUUUUAUUCAUUUUAAUGAUAUUUAAUUUUCUUUUAUAUAUAUAUAUAUAUAUAUAUAUAUAUAUAUAUAUAUAUAUAUAUAUAUUAUAAUAAAAUUGACAUAAAAAAACCAUUUUUUUAAAUAUUUUUUUUCUUAUUACUCUCCAAACGCCAAACAUAACUUUAGGAUUGUAUGAUAAUCCAUAUCAACUUGGUUAGUUGGUCAUGUUGUGGGUUUGUUUUACAUUUUAUAUCACCCAUGGUAAUUUUUAUGUUUAAAUUGUUUUUUAAAAGUUAAAAAUAUUAUUUUCAUGAAAAUAAAAACCCAUUUAAUUGGAUAUUAUUUAUAUACAUUUCUUAUUUUUUAUUUUUUAAAAAUAGAGAAUAAUGGUAAUUGCCCGUGAAAGCACACAAGCAUUUUAAGACCAACAUUUUUUAAACUUUGUCAAAAAAAAAAUUAUUCUUAAAAUUUUUAAAUUUAGAGAACAUUUUAUAUAAGAUUUAUUAUAUUUUAUAGAGAAUGUAUUAUUAUUUUUAUUUUUAUGAUUGAAAAGUAAAGAUAUAUUCAAAUUCACUUAAAAUAGAAAUGUAUCCAAAUGAUCUAUUUGGUAAUUGUUUUUGAAAACAAAUUUCUAUUCUUAAAAAAAAAAAAAUGGAAAACAUGUUUGACAACCAAUUAAAAAAAAAAAAAUUCUAUUCUUAAAAACAAAAAACAAUAUUUUCAAAAAACAUCAUUUAAUUGUUUUAACUUGUUUUUUAAAUAUUAUUUUAAAAAAUAAUUAUACAAAUUACAGAGCAUGGUUAAAAAAUGAAACAUUAUAUGUAAAAGUUAUUUUAAAAAUAUGUUUAAAAAUAGGUUAAAAACAUUUCAACAGAUUUUUUAACAGACAUUUGUUUUAUAAAACAUUAAAAAAUAGUUUUUUAAGAACGCUUUUCAAAAACAUUUGCCAAACAUAGCCUAAAAUUUUGAUUUCUUUAUCUUGGGUCACCUUCAUUUUCCUUUUUACUAGUGUUAGGUUUUAUUUUGAAGUAUGCCACAAAUAACAGGGAAAUCACACCUAAACAUCCAAGCAAAAUAUUCCUAAAAAGAACAAAACGAAAUUCCAAUGCAAUCUUCAGCACACCCCACACUGAGUUAGAAAGACCAGUCAUGUUUAUUUUUUUAUUUUUUUUUAUUUUUUUCAAACUAAUAAAGAUCCAAGUCAAUUAUCUACCAGUCAAACGUUGUAUUAGUUGACUAUUAGUGUUCUUCUUUUAAUUUUGUGGUCACCAAGAAUGAGUCCAAUUUUAUUUUGUUUGAAAAUCUCAGGCCACUUUGGAUUUUCCCUUCAUUUUUUCCUUGGGGUUGACUAGAAUACAGCCAGAGAUUUGAACUUGUCAAUGCUAUUAUACUUUCAGCUUCCAUCUCAACCACUUCGGUUCUAGACUGGAUUUUAAGUAGAUAAGAUCCAACAGACUUGAUGGUAUGAAACCAAGGAAAUGGGGAUGAUUCCUUCUCCAAUUUCAUUGAUUUUUGAAGUGGGUUUUUUCCUAGAAACUUGCAUGGCAAAGGAAAGAAAAGCUUGCAUAGUGCUAAUGAAAUAAGAAUAGAUGUCACAAUGAUGCGAGACCACCUACACUCUUCUUCUUAAAAGCUUGAGCUAAUUGAGGAAAAAUGUAAAUUCAUAUAUAAGACAGGAUUAACAUUCUAGAAACCUAAGCUAAGGGGUAGAGGUAGCUCCAUGUAUGGGAAAUUGGAUUGUUGUCUGUCCUAAGCACUUGAGAGCUCCUUCACAGGGAAUUUGUUCAAUCGCAACCUGAACCUCCAGAAAAACACCAAUGAUAAUUUGAACAGGCAGGGUUUCAAAUCCAUACCUGAAACUCCAUUGAACAAAAAAUCAGUAGAAUCCAAUAUAGCAGAGUGAUAAACUGAUAAUAUUAUAACAUUUUUCUUGUUAAUAGGUCGUGCUGCUUCGUCAUUUUUUGACAUGUUCGACACAUCAAGGAGCACCGAGUCGUCUUGUAGUGACCGGCACUGGGUUGCUUCUGGUUACCAAGUCAAAAGCGCGUUAAAUAUUCAGUUAGUUCCAAAUAGUGUGUGAUUAUUAUCAACUUGGGUUUACUUUUUCAUUACUAAAUCAAUCAUUUCGGACUUUAGAGCACUAGUGGCCAGAAGAACCGCAAAUAUUGACAAUUGAGGGAGAAAGUAAAAUUCAAGCAAAGAGACAAUUAUUAUAAUAUUACUUAUUAGCGUAGUGCUUUGCAUGUGUAGGGUAUGGUCACAGACUCACAGUGAAGUCUAGGAGCCUGUGAAGAGGAACAUGUUAUAAAGGAAUAUCGUAUUCGGCCAAGUUAGAGUCUUUUAUUCAUUGUUUAUUGAUCGUGGUUGACCCCAGAGGUCUUGAACAAAGUAUAUUAGGAGUCUCAAGUUUCAGAAGGAAACCCAUGCAUAAGUCUAGAGCUUCAAGCAGAGAUGAGAAUCACUAGUAUGAAGGCAUUCUUCUUCCUUUCUCUUCUCUUCUUUGCUGGUCCCUCCAUGGCAACUGACACCAUUUUCCCAGGCCAGACUCUUUCUGGCAACCAGACAAUCAGAUCCGAUGGUGGAACGUUUGAACUGGGCUUCUUCACUCCAGGUAACUCUUCAAACUAUUACAUUGGCAUGUGGUACGGAAGGCUACCCACCAAGACAGUGGUUUGGGUAGCAAAUAGAGACCAGCCCCUCUCUGAUCCAUCUUCUUCCACAUUACAACUUUCCCAUGAUGGGAGGUUAGUCCUACUCAAAGAGUCCAGAACUGAAAUCUGGUCGACAGAUGUGAACUCUACUACACCUAAUUCCACCAUUGCUGUUCUUCUCGACAAUGGAAAUUUAGUUGUACGGGGGAGGUCGAAUUCAUCCAGUGUAUUGUGGCAGAGUUUUGAUCACCCAACUGAUACGUGGCUGCCUGGUGGGAAGAUUGGGGACAGUAAGCAUGGCAAGGGAAAGAUAGUUCUGACUCCAUGGAGAAGCCCAGAGAAUCCAGCAACUGGGAUUUUCUCCGUUGAUGUGGGACCAAAUGGAACAAGUCAUAUACUGCUAUGGAAUCAUACUAAAAUCUAUUGGAGUAGUGGGGAGUGGACGGGGAAGAACUUCGUCAAUGUUCCUGAAAUAGACAAAAACUAUUACGUUAAAAAUUUCAGGCAUGUGAAGACGGAGAAUGAAAGCUAUUUCACCUAUGAUGCUGGUGUCCCUACGGCUGUCACUAGAUUCCUGCUGGAUUACACUGGGCAGCUCAAGCAGUUCGUUUGGGGGGAAGGCUUCACGCAGUGGACCAUCUUUUGGACGCGGCCGACACUACAAUGUGAAGUCUAUGGUUUCUGUGGGGCUUUCAGUAGCUGCAAUAAUCAGAAGGAGCCUCUUUGUGAGUGCAUGCAAGGUUUUGAACCCACUGUCCUUAAAUAUUGGGAAUUGGAAGACCAUUCGGAUGGGUGUGUGAGGAAGACCCCUCUAGAAUGUGGAAAUGGAGGAAAUGAUACCUUUUUUGUGAUUUCCAACACAGUCUUUCCAGUUGAUUCAGAGAAUUUGACUGUUACCACGUCUGAGGAAUGUGAAAAAGCUUGUCUGAGCAAUUGUUCCUGCACUGCAUAUGCUUAUGAUAAUGGGUGUUUGAUCUGGAAAGGAGAUCUCUUCAAUCUUCGAAAACUCCAGGAUGAUAAUGAGGGUGGAAAAGAUUUACAUGUAAGAAUUGCAGCGUCUGAGCUGGUGGAAACUGGAACAAACACCACUAGAGAGAAGGCCACCACAGAGAAGGUCACUUGGAUUCUCAUCGGGACAAUUGGAGGGUUCCUUCUGCUCUUUGGUAUUCUUCUGGUUGUUUUCUGCAGGAGACACAGGCGACCCAACAAAGCACUCGAGGCAUCUGACGAUUCUCUGGUGCUCUUUAAGUACCGGGAUCUGCGAAAAGCAACGAAGAACUUCUCCGAAAAACUUGGAGAAGGAGGAUUUGGUUCUGUUUUCAAAGGCACCUUGCCCAACUCAACUGUCAUUGCUGUGAAGAAGCUCAAAAAUCUAACACAAGAGGAGAAGCAGUUCCGCACGGAAGUGAGCAGCAUUGGAACAAUCCAGCAUAUCAAUCUUGUCCGCCUUCGGGGAUUCUGCGCAGAAGCUUCAAAAAGAUGUCUAGUCUUUGAUUACAUGCCCAAUGGUUCUCUAGAACAUCACCUGUUUCGAAAGGAUUCCAAGAUCCUGGACUGGAAAACAAGGUAUGAUAUUGCAGUGGGAACUGCCAGAGGAUUGGCUUACCUCCAUGAGAAAUGCAGAGACUGCAUCAUACAUUGUGACAUCAAGCCUGAGAACAUUCUAUUGGAUGCUGCAUACAACCCAAAGGUGGCUGAUUUUGGGCUUGCCAAGCUCAUAGGAAGAGACUUCAGCCGUGCGCUAACCACUAUGAGAGGAACCAGAGGCUACCUUGCACCAGAAUGGCUUUCGGGUGAAGCCAUCACACCAAAAGCUGAUGUUUUCAGCUAUGGAAUGCUGCUUUUCGAGGUUGUAUCAGGAGGGAGAAACAGAGACCUGUUAGAAGAUGGGACAGAUGAUUACUUUCCCACCCGAGUUGUUGAUGUAAUAAACAGAGGAGACGAUGUUCUUACCUUGUUAGAUAGCAGACUAGAAGGUAAUGCCACCAUGGAAGAGCUCACCAGAGCCUGCAAAGUAGCUUGUUGGUGCAUUCAGGACAAUGAGAAGGACAGACCAACAAUGGGGCAGAUAGUUCAGAUUCUGGAGGGAGUCUCAGAAGUGGGUACACCUCCAAUGCCUCGGUUUCUCCAGAAUCUCUCGGGAAAUCCAGCCGAUGGUGCCAUCAAUUUCCAGGAGACUUCUUCAGAAGCUUGAAGAGUCAUUCUUCAAUGAGAUUCAGGUAGUGAAAAUAUGGUACUUGGGUACCUUCCAGUGAGUGAUUACAUUCUCCAUCUUAGUCGUUUACAAGUCAAAGAUCGAGUACUCUUUCUUAUUAGGACUUCGAAGCAGGAGCUGCUGAAUCCCCUGGGUGGCCACGCCCGCAAAGGAUACGAAUCAGCUACUCAAAAUAAACUCAGCAUAUGUCAAUUCCACCAUGUCCCAACAAAAAUGAAGGUGGAUUUGAUGCAUGUAGUUUUGAUUUGAUUGUGAAAAACAAAUGUGUUAAUGUUAUAUGCAAAGCUUGUUCGAAUGUGUUUCUUAUACUAAAGCUUGCUUGAUUGAAUACAUGAACUUGAAAGAGAAGCCCACAUUCAAUGGCACCUCAACUUGAUGGGGCUUUGCACUAGUAUAAUAAUUUUCAAAAAAAUCAUACCACAAAAAGUA
rnacentral:lncRNA from 1 species